rnacentral:tRNA from 1 species
GCCGUCGGUGGCGCACUGGGUCGUGGGCUAGCUGCGAUCUGGCGUUUUAUUGCCAAAGCCCUAGGAAGUAGCGUUCGAUUCAUUGCUAGGGGCGC